rnacentral:rRNA from 1 species
AAAACCCAAAGGCGUAAUGAAAGUAAAUAGUGAAAUCAAUUUAUUGUUAUCACUAUAAGGGAAGAUGGAAAUCUUGUUAACCUUAUAAUUGUAGCAUUUAUGUUAUAUAUUAUUUGUAACAAUUUCCCGCACUCCCGGGGCGCUUGUUUCUCGCGUUGCGAGUCACUGCGCACCUAGAGCGUACACGAUGAUACCCGAAAGAUGGUGAACUAUGCCUGGCCAGGACGAAGCCAGGGGAAACCCUGGUGGAGGUCCGCAGCGAUUCUGACGUGCAAAUCGAUCGUCGGAGCUGGGUAUAGGGGCGAAAGACCAAUCGAACCAUCUAGUAGCUGGUUCCCUCUGAAGUUUCCCUCAGGAUAGCUUGCGCUCGUUCGGAGUCUCAUCCGGUAGAGCGAAUGAUUAGAGGCAUUGGGGUCGAAACGACCUCAACCUAUUCUCAAACUCCAAAUAGAUGAGAACCCCGGCUUUCUUAAAAGUGAAGCCGUGGGAUUCGGAUCAGAGUGCCAAGUGGGCCAAU